UACGUAGGGCGCAAGCGUUGUCCGGAAUUAUUGGGCGUAAAGAGCUCGUAGGCGGCUUGUCACGUCGGGUGUGAAAGCCCCGGGGCUUAACCCCGGGUCUGCAUUCGAUACGGGCUAGCUAGAGUGUGGUAGGGGAGAUCGAAUUCCUGGUGUAGCGGUGAAAUGCGCAGAUAUCAGGAGGAACACCGGUAGUGGCGAAGGCGGUCUCUGGGCCAUACUGACGCUGAGAGCGAAGCGUGGGGAGCGAACAGGAUUAGAACUACCGAGUCA
rnacentral:rRNA from 1 species